UCAUAUCGAGACGGCCGGGUGGGGGCGAGGCGACGAGCGCUCUCUCUCUCUCUCUCUCGCUCUCUCGCUGGCUCGCCGUUCUCUGGCUUUUAAAGAAGAGAAGGCGGACGGUAAAAAAAGCUCUCGCUGGCUCUAUUUCGUACCCUUGAAAGCUCGGGCUUCUUUUAUCGUUGUCGCUUCAUUAGAAGGAUUUUGUCUUCCUCUUCCCCUCGAGCGAGCGGGUGAUCUCGGAAAGUCUUUGGGGUUGCUACAGGGGGCUGGCUGAGAGAGUGGUCCUAACUUUGUACAUAUUUGUCGGAUCAAAAUGAUGGCAAAUUUUAUUACAAGAUCCUUGGCGUUGGUUCUUGGCUAUGCUUAUCCGGCAUAUGAAUGCUUCAAAACUGUGGAGUUGAACAAGCCGGAGAUUGAGCAGCUGAGAUUCUGGUGUCAGUAUUGGAUCUUAGUUGCUGCGCUGACCAUCUUUGAGAGGGUUGGAGAAUCUUUUAUUUCAUGACUUAUCUGGGAAUUCAGAUUUUUCGGUUCUACUUCAAAUGCACCAGAUGCUCGGCUGAAAUUGCAUUCAAAACAGAUCCUCAGAAUUCGGACUAUGUUGUUGAAUCGGGAGCAUCCCGAAAUUUUGAGCCUUGGCGGGAAGAGGACGAAGCAGUAGAAAAAGAGAAGAAGAAAAGAGCUGCUGAAGAGAUGGGGGAUGCGAUGAAGUCACUGGAAAACAGAGCAGUGGAUUCAAAGAGAGAUAUGGACAUACUUGCAGCACUAGAAGAAAUGAGGUCUAUGAAGGUAUAAAACCUUUAUUAGGUUCCUGAUACUUCAACAGCUCGCAGAGAUGAUGAUGGGGCUGAAUGCGGUCCCUGAUAUUUUUUAGACUGUUAUUUAAUGAGUUUUAUAUGUAUCUUUCUUAUAUUUUUCAAAAUACAUUGUAAUUCUAAACUUAUGUAAAUUUAAUCUUAUAUGACAAUAUGAAUGUUUCGAAUGA